AAGUUCUUUGUCUUAUGGCUUAUUAACGAGUAAACAAGUUAUAAUGUGCAAUACUUUUUGAUAUAUAUAUACAAACUCCAAUGGGGAACCUUGCUUUAAUUUCUGUUACACACAUAUAAAUUUACACACUUGAAAAAUAGAUUAAGGAACUAUUGGGCGCACUACUAUUAAUGUCCAUUUCAUCAAUCUGAUUGUCACUAGGUGGUUAUGAUACUUGAAACAGAUUGUGCUUUCUAUUUUUUUAUUAAAUAAGAGACUGCACUAUCUGAUAUUUAAGUUAAAUCUCAUCAUUAUGUUGUGUUUUUUGGCACUUGUAUUAGUGGGCACGGCAAGCAGUAGCAGCCAGAUGCUGUGUAGUGUUCUGUUUCAAAUUGAUCUUGACAUCUUUGUGUUCUAAAUUAUGUCCAUGAAACUGGCCACCGUGAAUCCAGGUGGACUUAAAUAGCCUGCCUAACAUCCUCCCUAAAGAUGUGAGGACACACAUACAUGAUCGCUCGCUUCAUGUUACUACAUUUGGUUUCAGGUAUGGAUCGAGGGGCCCUAGCUCACAUUUUGUUCCUGUUUGUGAUCAGGUACAUCAGUCUUGUGGUCCGCCACAUUUCUCGCUGGAGACCUCAGGCGCUCCGUUGUCGUACCUCAGCCAGCCUCACCAUGGAAGCCCUCUUGGCUGCAUGGACAACCAGAGUUGUAUGCACCCACUUGACACGGCGUUUUGCCUGGCGAUAAAUCCGCAGUAUCAUUUCCUCAACGGUGUUAGCGAUGCAUCGUCUCAGUUGUAGCUAAUUUGAUGCUUGUGUUUGUGGAAACCAAGAGGUGGCGCUGAUUCAUUGGAAACCUGGUCGUGUAUGAAUGGGUUUCCAGCUACUUCUAUUCUUGGAGAUAGAAACCAACAUGUUUGGUUUUUGUUUUUAUUCGUUUUAGAACAACUCAUUUUUGUACGGAAAGAGGCAUUUAGCUAUAAUUGUUUGUUGUAGUAUGUUUAUCACAGGAUAGCCGAUUCCAUGAAAUACAUAAAAACCUGAUAUUGUUGCUAUAUUUGGUUUAGUCAUGCUCUUAUGGAACCUUUAAUGAGGAUUUUUCUAUAUCAAGAUAUCAUCGUCAUCGUCAUUAUUAUU